AUUGAACGCUGGCGGCAUGUUUUACACAUGCAAGUCGAACGGUAACAGCACUUCGGUGGCUGACGAGUGGCGAACGGGUGCGUAAUACAUCGGAACGUGCCUAGUAGUGGGGGAUAACUACUCGAAAGAGUAGCUAAUACCGCAUGAGAUCUAAGGAUGAAAGCAGGGGACCUUCGGGCCUUGCGCUACUAGAGCGGCUGAUGGCAGAUUAGGUAGUUGGUGGGAUAAAAGCUUACCAAGCCGACGAUCUGUAGCUGGUCUGAGAGGACGACCAGCCACACUGGGACUGAGACACGGCCCAGACUCCUACGGGAGGCAGCAGUGGGGAAUUUUGGACAAUGGGCGCAAGCCUGAUCCAGCAAUGCCGCGUGCAGGAUGAAGGCCUUCGGGUUGUAAACUGCUUUUGUACGGAACGAAAAGCCCUCUUCUAAUACAGGAGGGUCAUGACGGUACCGGAAGAAUAAGCACCGGCUAACUACGUG
rnacentral:rRNA from 1 species